rnacentral:rRNA from 1 species
ACGUAGGAUCCAAGCGUUGUCCGGAUUUACUGGGUAUAAAGAGUGCGUAGGCGGCCUUGUGCGUCAGAGGUGAAAUCUCCGGGCUUAACCCGGGGAGUGCCUUGGAUACGGCAGGGCUUGAGUGCGGGAGAGGAUGAUGGAAUUCCUGGUGUAGCGGUGAAAUGCGUAGAUAUCAGGAGGAACACCGGUGGCGAAGGCGGCCAUCUGGCCUGAAACUGACGCUGAGGCACGAAAGCGUGGGGAUCAAACAG